UUCUUUUUGAGGAGUCUCAGAAAGUAAAGUCUCUGCUGUGCCUUUUUGAUGGUCCCUGAGGUGUUCAUACUCCACGACAGAUCUUCCUCGAUCUGGAUCCCCAGGAACCUGAAGUUAGAGACCCUUUCCACAUAGUCCCAAUUGAUGUACAGGGGUUGGAUGUUUAUUGUGUUUUUCGUCCGGAAAUCCAUGAUCAGCUCCUUCGUCUUGGUGGUGUUAAGGACCAGGUUGUUUUCCCUGCACCACCCAGUCAGCCGCUCCACUUCAUUUCUGUAGGCAGACUCAUCCCUCCCAGAAAUGAGUCCCACUACUGUGGUGUCGUCUGCUAACUUAAUAGUGGUAUUGCUGGCAUGAGCAGGGGUGUAGUCCUGAGUGUAGAGGGUGUAGAGUAGGGGGCUUAGCACGCAGCCCUGUGGGGAGCCGGUGCUGAGAGCGAUUUGUCAGGAAGUCCAGGAUCCAGUGGCAGAUGGAGGAAGACGGAAGAAGACAGUCCCAGCCCCAGAAGGAUGACAGACUCUUAAGUAAUUAUGAUUGGCUAAAGUUUGAGUACAUGGUUAGCCAAUAAGUGCCAGAGUUCAGCCAGGCGGGUGUUGUUGCCAACAUCAAAGUACACAACAGCCAACUGUUUUAUCAGGAUGUAAGUAUAGGCAACACUAAAUUGACCCUAUAUUGUGAAUAAGAGUGUGAAUGUUGUCUGUCUAUCUGUGUCCGCCCUGCGAUGAGAUGGAGACUUGUCCAGGGUGUACCCUGACUUCCGCCGGAAAGCAGCAUGGAUAGGCUCCAGAGAGAGUCAAGGCAGCCAUAACAAAUGAGAAGCAAGGUACCCCCUGCAGUAAGGGGGUGAUAAGAUCUCGCUGUCACGGCCCGAGCGCAUACCAAUGCACAUUCAUCUGUGCGCUUGGCUGAGCGCACCUCCAAGAGCGCUUCAGGCGCGUGACAGUCCGGCUGCAAUCAAUCGCCAGCAAUCAACACACCUGAAGCUGAUGAUGAGACCUGCCUUCAUAAGCCAGCACAACCUGCUAUCCCGCGCCAGAACGUAGUUUCCUGUUUCAUACACAGACUUCCGUUCCCGCAUCACGAGCUGUGUGACUCGUGAUUCAUUCCCGUGUUCCCUCUGCUUUCCUGACUGCCUCUUGGAUCUCGACCUCCCGCCUGGACACAGACUUUUGACGCCUCGCUAUCGCCCCCGACUUCCUGCCUGUGCUCACGGACCUACGAGCCUGCCUCGCCCCUAUUUGAACUCCCGUACCUCUCGCUCAACACUCCCGGUAACACUCUCCAGUUAAUUCACACACAUAGUCGCACACCACACACACAUUUUGGAUUAGUACACACACUUCUUUCAUUAUUUAUAUAUAUAUAUAUAUAUAUUGUAUAGUGUAUAUAUAUGAAUAAAUAGAGCUAAAACUACGUCCCUCCUGUCUGUGCCGUCUC